UACGUAGGUGGCAAGCGUUGUCCGGAUUUACUGGGCGUAAAGAGCGCGCAGGCGGUCGUUCAAGUCGCGUGUGAAAGCCCCCGGCUCAACUGGGGAGGGUCACGCGAUACUGAUCGACUCGAAGGCAGGAGAGGGUAGUGGAAUUCCCGGUGUAGUGGUGAAAUGCGUAGAUAUCUGGAGGAAUACCGGUGGCGAAGGCGGCAUCCUGGACCGGCAUUGACGCUGAUGAGCGAAAGCUAGGGGAGCAAACAGG
rnacentral:rRNA from 1 species